CCGUAUACAUCAUCCCCGUGUCCAGCUGCUCAACUCCAAGCAUCUCCCUGCAUCCACGUCCGCCCGUUCGCAUGAGAUCCUCCCAACGUCCACGGUCUUCCAUUGCUUCGGAACAGCCGGGAUCUUCCGAACCAAUCCAACCGGUUGCAUCCUUAUCCCUUCUUCAAAUCCCAGCAACCGUAUGCUUUCAUCCCAGCAAAAUUCCAAUAUCCCUCUGGAUUACGUGGAUCCAAUCUUCAUCUCAGUUCACGGCUCUUCACUCCUUCCCAGCCGAAUCAACCAACCUUCUCCAGAUUCCACGUCCACGAACAGAUCCCAUGCCUCCCAGGCGACCGUUCCCAAGCCUCCCCUGCUUCUCUCCCACAAACAAUGCUCCACAUCACAGCCGUAACCUCCUUCCAAACCAAAUCCAGAACCUGUCCUAGCCUCCCUCCGGAUCGCGUUCGUGAUCUACGUUCAUCCCACGACCGCAUCAAAUCCCCUGUUACGUGUAUCUCCCGUUCACGAUAGCCUUCAUCCACCCACGCCUCCCCUAUUUCAUGAGCUUCAUCUCCCAGCCUUGCAUCCUUAUCUCUACUUCGGAACAGAGUUCCAGCAUCCCGUUCGUGAGCCAUAUCCUCCCUAAUCAUCCACGAUUCAAGGGAUCAGC
rnacentral:lncRNA from 1 species